rnacentral:rRNA from 1 species
UACGUAGGGGGCUAGCGUUGUCCGGAUUUAUUGGGCGUAAAGAGCGUGUAGGCGGCCUGACAGGUCUGCUGUGAAAACUCGAGGCUCAACCUCGAGAUGUCGGCGGAAACCGUCUGGCUAGAGUCCGGAAGAGGAGAGUGGAAUUCCUGGUGCAGCGGUGAAAUGCGCAGAUAUCAGGAAGAACACCUAUGGCGAAGGCAGCUUCCUGGACCGACACUGACGCUGAGGCGCGAAAGCUAGGGGAGCAAACGGG